CGACCAGUAGAUGGCUCAUAAAGGAGGCAGUGGGCGGGCCUAGGACUAGCCGCGCCUCCAAAGCCUGUUAAGGUAUCCAGCUUCUAACAGCAGGCUUUUAGUGGGUUUUACCUUCCUGAGAAUUCUACGGAAGGCUUCUCUUAGAUAGGUUUUAGGCUGCAGCCGGUGAGGGGUAACUCUGAGAGUGGAUUUCAGGCCCUGGCCCCUUGGUUUCAGCUGUCCACUAAGAACUUGUCUAUUCUAGGACUCGACCGUAAGUCUCAAUCAGCCCAGUCUUACGUAGGAGUAAUGCCUUUGUCUUACUGAUAGUUAAGGCUAACUGUAUUUACUUAGUUGUUAUACACGACAUUGGGCACUAAGUGAUGUUUUAGAUUUUUCCAAUAGCUGGUACAGUUACGUCCUUAAAUGCAAGAAUACAAAGGAAGAUAAAAUAUAUUGCACUAUGAGUGCUGAAGACUCUCAGCCUGUUAGAGGAAAAUAAUAUUAAGAAUAGUAUUUUUAAUAGAUACUCUUAUAAAGUAGUUUAAUCGUUUUUAUAAUGUUUACAUUACAAAUGUGAAUUUAUAUACGUGCAAAAUUUUGAACAGUGCAAGUUGGGUGAGAACUGUUUUUAUAAACCAAUCAAAGGCUCAGUCUUUGUGUGAUGGGUCCUUCCUGCAUUGACAUGUGAAAAUAUUUGUUAACACUCAAGUUCAGUUCUUCAUCUAGCCUUAAAUGUGCCUCAUUGCUUUUUAAAUGCUAAAAGUCUUCAGCGCCAAUGAUAUAACUUGCCAUCUCUAUGCCCUUAAACAUACAGUUUGUUUGGAUUUUUUUUUUUAAUUGCUAGUAUGAGAAAUGCUACCUUAAACAUGUGUGAAUGUGUUUUCCUACUUCUGUCCAAGUACUGCUUAUGGUGCAGAUGACAACAAAAGAACAGACUAGAUCUCAGGCAUACAUCUUCAAUCCUAGUAGUAGAGUCUUCAGAUAAGGGCCCCUAGUGUUGCUACAGUGUUCAUUUCCACCCAUAAAGUUUAAAUAAUCCUAUUUACUACCCUUUGGAAGAGAAAUAAUAUGCAAGCUUUUGUUGUUGUUGUUGUUUUUUUCAAAUUGAUGAGCAUGAGAAAAGUUAGGGUUAGGGUGUGUGUAUAUAUACAAACUAAGUUCAGGGUUCUUGUAUACAAUGAUUUGGGUGACAAGGUGAAGCAACUUGUGUGACUACUGUAAUGCAGACGCCUUCCACUUAGUAAUUAAAACACCUCACACUAUCCUAAUACUGUCACCGUGAUUAGUUUUGCCUGCUUUCAGACUUUUGUAUACAUACAAAGUACAUACUUACUCCAAGGCUCCUUUUUCUUGAUACCUGUGAUGGCUGGUAUUGAUUAUCAGCUUCACACGAUCGAGAAUCAUCAAGAAGACAGAUGUCUGGGCAUGUCUGUGUAAGUUUCUAGCUUGUGUUAAUUGAGGUGGGAAACCCACUCUAAAGCCACCUCAUUCAUAUUCUGCGGUCCCAGAACAAGUAAGAUGGAGAAAUGAGUGGAAUAGCUGUGUUCAUGUUGAUGUGUUUCCAGAUAUGUAGAUGUAUCCCACACUUCGGCCACCAUGCCUUUUCUGCCAUGUUGGAUAGUACCCUAAAUAUAAGCCCAAUAUAUCUUUCCUGAACUUGCUUUCUGUCUUAUAUUUUAUCUAAACAAUAAGGAAAAUAAGUAAUAUAUCACUAUAUUUGUAAUACUAAUACAUAGUAAAAGUGUUAUAGUAAUUUAUCCAUUCUCAGUUUUGUUUAUAAUUCCAAAUGUUGUUCAUUCUACUGUUGCUCAGCAUUAGGUAAUUGGAUGUUUGGAGUAAUUACAAUGAUGCUGUUAUGGAUAUUCUUGCACCUUGUCAUUGGUACCUGUAACUAUACAUUUGAUCUUGAUAUAUAAGAAAUGUCUCACUGUGCCUCAGGAUAUAAAUACAUGUUUAGCAGGAAUAGACAUUUCCUAGUAAAUUUUUGGUUUCAUCAAUUUCCACAUCCGCAAACAAGGAAAAAAAUCUGGAUGCUCAAUAUUUGGAUGGAUAAUAUUUUCAGCUGUAAUCUUUCAUACUUCUUUUCAUCUUUUACAUGUCUAUAUUUAUAAGUAUCAUAACAUGGAUUUGACUUGCAUUUUCUACAUAAAAAUGAGUUUAUAAACUAAGAUUAUUUGUAUGUCUUUUGUCAAUAUCUCUCAAAAAGUUAGUUUUUGCUAACUCUUUAAUUAUGUUAUCAGCCUUUUCCUUAAGGCUUUCUUAUAUUCUUGAUAUGAGUUCUUCAUCUCAAAUAUAUUGUGUUAGAACAUGGCCCAGGAAUUGUGAAGGCCAAAGUUAUGUUUUAAGUUUUAAUUACUGUACUUAAGAAAUCUAUAAAAUAAAAAUGCCUCUAAUCUGAAACUUCCACUUGACCAAGGGCAGAUAACUUCUUGGAGUUCUGGGAGCUAUGGUUCAUGUAAGACAACAAGCCAUGGUUUUCACUUCUGUAAACAAGGUUGCUUACCUCAACUACACAGGAUGUCCUUAAUCACAUGUAUGUGAGCAGUACAUAGACAGGAAGUAUAUCAGGAUGUAUGCUUGCCCCUGAUUGGUUGAAGGCAAGAAAUACGUAGCUGUGUGGGGUUUGCCUUUAUAAGCAAUUGACUAGCAUACUUAUGGCCACUCUCUGGGAAUAUUGGUAUGGACCUGGCCAGCAUCUAUUAUCCAGUCCAGUAUUUAAUAAAACGUGCUUCGAAUUUGGCUCAAAAAUUGUGGUAGUAGGCUUAUUUUCACCUAGUAGAAUUAACGUGUUCUGGAGGCCCCAGCAAAAUCAGACAACCAACCUAAAAUUUAAAGCUAGACCUUCAUUCCCAGACUCCAGGCCUUCCUUAAAAGUUAUACAGCUUGAGAUAUUCCAAGCCUUGGAGAAGUGCUUUCAGUUUUGUGUACUAUCAAAGUGAACUGCCAUGAUGAGAACAGCAGCAGCACUACAGAGGCAUCUCCUAAUCAGUCACAGUAUGGUUGUCUCUGUGGGAUCCUGAUCUGGAGCAUGGAGGGGCUCAACAAGACCCAAAUAUUCUUCCAUCCAGGGCAAAAAGCAGGACAUCGCUUGCCCACCUGGUUCAGGAAAUUUGGAAAGUUUUUGUCAGUCUGUUUUGUCCGUGUGUUGAUGGAUUUCUGUUUUGUGGUAUGCCCAUAAGCUUUAUUGCAAGCCUGGGAGCCUAGAUGGAUCUGAGUCAGGCUCAGCUGGAUGUAUGAGUGAUGGUGGCCACCACAUGUUUUGUUUCUGGCUGAUGUCCUUCGUGUGGGAGAGCUUUCUGUGUUCUGUGUUUAUUGAUUUUGUUUUUGAUUUCCCUGCUGAUGCAAGCCACCAGCCACCACCACUAACUUCACCUGUCAUGGCUGCUUUUACUGCCAGAGUUCAGAAUUUAUCUCUAACCCUUUUGGUCACUGGAUUGAGUUUAGCAGAGAUUUAAACAUCAUUUAGGUGUGGAUAACAUUAAAGUUGCUUUAGGCUGUUCUACUUUAUUGAGAUGCUUGCUCUGGGGUUGGGUGGCAGCUCUCCCUUCUCUAUACCCAAGCAUGUUUAUUUAAGUUUCCUCUAUGUCCUUUGUCAGAAGAGCCACCUGAUUCUCUGACAGAGAAAAGAAAGCAAAGCAGAACUGCUUUAAACAUUUGACUAUUGGGACUAAAGAGAUGGCUCAGUGGUUAAGAGCACUGGUUGCUCUUCCAGAGGUCCUAAGUUCAAUCCUCAGCAACCACAUGGUGACUCACAACCAUCUAUUAUGGGAUCUGAUUCCCUCUUCUGGUGUGUCUGAAGACAGCUACUGUGUAUUCAUAAUAUAUAUAUGUGUGUGUGUGUGUGUGUGUGUGUAUAUACAUACAUAUAUAUAUAUAUAUAUGUAUGUAUACACACACAAAUACAUCUAUGUAUAUAUUAUAUAUUAUGUACAAUAUAUAAUAAAUCUUUUAAAAGAGCUCAUAAAAAUGGACUACAUAUAAUGUAUAUAAUAAAUCUUUUAAAAGAACUCAUAAAAAUGGACUAUUGGUUUCAUUUAACUGUCUAAAACUUUGGUAAAAUAUAAGCCCUACCAUAAGAUUUGAAAGACUAUUAUGUGAAUUAUAUGAACUUCCUGGACAUCAAUAUAUGUAAGUUUAUUGGGUAUGGUUAAGUCCUGUAAUAUCUGUAACAAAAACGUUAACUUAAAACUCAUAAUACAGGGGGGCAAUAGUUAAAAGUCUAGAAUAGGUAAUUUUAAAGGAACUAAAUGGUGUGAUGUCAUCUGGAAUAUAAGUAACAUAUGGUUUGCUGCUAUCUUAGCCCCUGCCCCCUAUUAACAUAGAGGUGACCAAGAGUCCAGUAGCCACAUUUGCUGGAGAGGGUGUGUGUCAUGUGACUUCAUCGCUAAAGGUGACCACAUGAUAACAUCAAUCAAUCAAGGAGGCAACAACAGGUCUCCAAGAUAUCCUGGAUUAGCAUGUUGUUUUUUUUUUUUUUUAUGCUAAUUCUUGUCCUAAAAUCAAAGUAAGAGAUUUUAAAAGAUAAGAUUUAAAAACAGUGCUUGUUUUAUAAGGUAUUAAAGCUGCACCUCUAUGUAUUUUUAUAUAAGAAUGAACCUCAUGCUGACAGCCAAACUUUAUAAUGACUCAAGUAGCAUUGGCUUUAAAGACAUGAAAUGGUCCUGGAGAGUAACUGAGAAUUGGCACUGUGUGGCAGGGUUGGAGUUCCUAAAGAGAGCCCAGGAUAGGGAUCCCAGCAGUUUUGGAAAGACCAGUGCCAUGUGAUAGCCACCAGAAACAAGAGCCACAAAGAAACGGAACCAGAUGAGCCCUAAAAGACAAUCUAUAUGUGCUGCCUAGGGCAGGACCAGAGGGGCUUUCUCCAGUCCCUUGGGAAACCCUGAGAAUUGUGUGUGAAUCCUUGCAUUGAGUAGUUUGCAUGGUUCAAGUUUGGUUUUACCUUGUACAAACUGUGGUUAUGUCCUGUUUCUUCCCACUUGAAUUGAAAAAGGGCACUUUAUUUUUGAUAUUGCAGGAGCCCAUAGUUGAGAUUUUAAUUUUUUUUAAAGGAAAUUUUGGAGUUUACAGAAAUUUUAAAUGAAAAGAAUAGAUAUUUUCUUUAACUAUUUAAAUUUAUAAGGCUAUGGAAAAUUUUAAGUUUAUAAAAUGUUUUAUAUUAAGAUAUAUUUAGUAAUAUGUAACCUUAAAAUAAAUAAAUAAAAGGCUAAAGAAUUAGGGCCACAGCAAUAGGCAGUAAACACCAGAAAAUGGGAUAUUCCUAUUGUGAUGGUUUUUAUAUUAUUGGACCAAGGAGUGGCACCAUCUGGAGGUGUGGCCUUGUUGGAAUAGGUGUGACCUGGUUGGAAUAGGUGUGUCACUGUGGGUGUGGGCUUAAGACCCUCACCCUAGUUGCCUGGAAGUCAGUCUUCUACUAGCAGCCUUUGGAUGAAGAUGUAGAACUCUCAGCUCUGGCUGCACCAUGCCUGCCUGGAUGCUGCCAUGCUCUCACCUUGAUGAUAAUGGACUAAACCUCUGAACCUGUAAGUCAGCCCCAAUUAAAUGUUUUUUAUAAGACUUGCCUUGGUCAUGGUGUCUGUUCACAGCAGUAAAACCCUAACUAAGACACCUAUCCUAUGAUGUAGUGAGACAAUGACCUAAGCAGUCUAGCAUAGACUCCAUAGAAUGUCUCUCCUUACCUAUGAUCUAUUCAGGUAAACAGAAACUGAUUCAAGAAUGUGGGUCUAACCCAUGUCAUUGCUAACUUGUUAAGCUUUAAAUGUUUUGAUAAGCUGCAUCAUACAAGACACUGUGAUAUUCUGUAAAAGUAAUCGUAUAAAAGGACCAGGAAAGUGAAGUUGCCAGUUUCCCCAUGGACAGCAUUUACGAUUUAAAGUUUUAUUUUGAUACUUAAAGAGCUUCAAUUCAGAAAUUUUUAUUUUCACAAGAUUCAAACUUAACAGAGAUAAAACUGUAAAUCCCAAUUGUAUAAAAGCUACUAACUUAUUGUGAACUGUCAUGUAAUUCAUUUACAAUGACAAACUUUAGCCUCCUGUUUGUGUUUUCAAGGUGAAGCCUGAAGAUAGUAAAUAGAUACAGAAUUUUAGCUAGUAAAGCAUAAAGCUAGUAACUGAAUAUAAUGUAAAAGCAAAGUUUUGUCUACCUCAGAUAUACUUAACUGAUUAUGGUCCUCAAACUUCAGAGAUCUGCUAAAUGUGGCUUUUAAAAUGUUUAACGGAAGUAGUUUUCCAUAAUAGAUGGAAAUGCCAAAUUCUAGUAACAACCUUAAAUUCUCCAAAGAAGACUGUGAAGCACAGAUAAUGCCACAUGAAUUGUGGUAACACAAACCACUGGGAAGUACUGCCCCAAGCCUUGUCUACCACCAGGGCCCGACCCAAGCAGUGGACAAGCAGGACACUAGACAGUUGACUACCCACUUUACAUAAACAAGACAGACCAGUCCCCCAAGUUCCUCCUCCACAGGAAAGUGUCUCCCAUCUUCUGGACCUGGUGGCCAAAGACUGAGGCUGCCCUGGGACAUCUACCCCCAGUGAAGUCAUUGAGACCACAGGAGCCUAGAGUAACUGUCUAGAAAAUUGGUAAGUCUCUUGUCAUUUUAGCUCAUGCAUAGGCCAUUUGGAUUAUACUUCCUACUGAAAUUAACCACCGCAGAGUUUUGAUAGGCUGGCUAGGUUAAGUGUAGUUUUUCAGUUUUAACAGCAACAGAUCCUUCCCCAAGGCUUCAGAUACCUUGUUAGUUCAUGUUAUAUGUAAAAAUCAGGCCUUGCUUUUCCUAGAGCUACUAGUGCUGAGACGGGCAAACAGCUUUCAGAUGUAACUUUUUACAAACUAUUUUGCAGUGUCUGCUCCUUAAACAAUCAUUUGUGUCUCAUGGUAAAUUACUGGAUUAAAAAAAAAGUUUUAAAGUAUAUGUAAGUUCUAAGGGUGUAAGAAAGUAUUCUAAGAUAUGUAAAUGCCAGGUAUAAAGUAUAAGAAAAUGGUUUAAGGUAAUAAAAAACAUUUCAGAUUUUUCCCACCUAUAUGCUACUGUUAUACUAAAAUAUCAAAAGUUCAAUGUUUUAAUAUUGAUCAAUGGAGUUCUGAUAAGCUGCUAAAGCACUGACUAUCAUCAGUCACAAGAUCAAGAUUUCAAAUUUCCCUUGGUUAUCUUUCAAAUACAGGCUUAAAAAUGCUCCUUAUUAAGUUAAAAUUAUGUCUGUCCAUCUGGCUGAAAGUGGGAUCCAGUUCAAGGGGAGGCCCCAAGGCAUGACACUAUUACUGAGGCGACGGAGCACUCACAAAAAGGGACCUAUCAUAUAACUGACUUCUGAAAAAAACCCAACGAGUACCUGAAAGAGUCAGAUGCAAAUAUUUGCACCCAACCAAUGGACAGAAGCAGCUGACCCCUAUUGUUGAAUUGUGGAAGGCUGAAGGAAGCUGAGGAGAAGGGCGACUCUGUAGGAGGACCAGCAGUCUCAAUUAAUCUGGACCCCCGAGAUCUCUCAAACACUGGACCACCAAACAGGCAGCAUACACCAGCUGAUAUGAGGCCCCCAACACACAUACAGUAAAGGACUUCCGGAUCUGUGUUCAUUCAGAGAUGAAGCACCUAACCCUCAAGAAACUGGAGGCCUCAGGGAGUAGAGGUCAGGUAGGGUGGGGGGACAUCCACGUGGAGACAGGGGGGUGGGGAGGAGGUAUGGGAUGUGGAGCAGUCAGAGGGUGGAUGGGGGGAAUAAAAUAUGAAUGUAAAAAAAUAAAAAAUAAAUAAAGUAAAAAAAAAUUCUGUCCAUCCUCUAUAUGUUGAGCCCUCUGGACAGAGAAAGGAAUGUUUAUGCUUUUUAACCCAAAGCCAUAUCUUUUGCCGUGACUUGAAAGCUUAAGUGUACUACAGCUGUUAUAGUCUAUAAUGUAGAUUUCAAACAGUGGUAAUACCAAUAUAUAUGUUAUCUCUUUUUGUAAACUAACAUAUAUAUAUAUAUAUAUAUAUAUAUAUAUAUAUAUAUAUAUCUCCUGUAAGCCUGGGGAGCCAGAGAGUCCUCAGGUUUGGAUCCACCUCUCACAGGUCAAACAGACUAUGGAUAGGUACAGUGUAAGUCUCUCCACCUGCCUGUUCCUAAGGGUGUGCUUGUCUCGCUCUCCCCUCUGAUCUUGGGACUCCUCCCCUCCCCCAACUACCAUAGCUAUAGGCCUGAAAGUUGUAAAUUUACAUGUUUCCUGUAAGUUUCUAAACUUUAGCUUCUGUUCUUACUCUAUAUCUGUCUGUGCAGAUUUCUCCUUGGCUUGACGACAACAUCUAGGAGUUGGCUGCAGACUACAGACUGCUCUACAUGGUUGCAGUCCCUGGCCAUGCAGAAAGCUGUCAAGGACCAGUCCAGCCUGUGUAAUUGCUCCCUGUCUCUCCAUCUGGGUCAGCUAACCAGCCCCAGCCUCUCCUUCAGGAACCCGGUUCGUGAAGCUGCGGGUGGCUACAAACUGGACCCUCCUAGAUCCAGUAGCAAUCAAGAAAAUGCCCACAGGAGCUGAAGAAAUGGCUCAGUGGUUAGGAGCACUUGCUGCUCAUUCAGAGGACCUGGGUUUGGUUCCCAUUCCCCACAUGGUUGCUCACAACCGUCUAUAACCCCAACUCCAAGACAAGCUGUGCCUUCUGACCUCUGAGGGUGCCAGACCUGCAUAUGGUACACAUACCUCCAUACGAACAAUACAUUCAUACACACAAAAUAAAAUAACUAAAAUUUUUUAAAAGGUUUUUUUCUAUUGCCCAUGGUCCAAUCUCAUGAAGGAAAUUCCUCAACUGAAGUUCCCUCUUCUUUGGUGUGUCAAGUUGACAACAAAGAUAAGCUGUUAUGUCUCCUCCAUGUGCUUUGGCCAGAUCUAUGAGCAUCCAAGGAUCUUCUCCUGUCACUUUCCCACCAAAAGUCUUGAAGUGUUCUGUUUGUGUUUAAGUCUGUAAUGCAUUUGGAGUUACUUUUGAACAAAGUAUGAAAACUAAA